UAAGACCUUGCGCUUUUGGAGCGGCCGAUGYCUGAUUAGCUUGUUGGUGAGGUAAAGGCUUACCAAGGCUUCGAUCAGUAGCUGGUCUGAGAGGACGGCCAGCCACACUGGGACUGAGACACGGCCCAGACUCCUACGGGAGGCAGCAGUGGGGAAUUUUGGACAAUGGGGGCAACCCUGAUCCAGCCAUGCCGCGUGAGUGAAGAAGGCCUUCGGGUUGUAAAGCUCUUUCAGCCGGAACGAAACGGUUACGGWUAAUACCCGUGACUACUGACGGUACCGGAAGAAGAAGCACCGGCUAACUACGUGCCAGCAGCCGCGGUAAUACGUAGGGUGCAAGCGUUAAUCGGAAUUACUGGGCAUAAAGCGUGCGCAGGUGGUUUUGUAAGUCAGAUGUGAAAUCCCCGGGCUUAACCUGGGAACU
rnacentral:rRNA from 1 species